rnacentral:rRNA from 1 species
AGGUCAAGCGAACAAGGGCGCAGGGCGAAUGCCUUGGCACUGGGAGCCGAUGAAAGACGUGAUAAGCUGCGAUAAGCUUCGGGGAGCUGCAAAUAAGCAUUGAUCCGGAGAUUUCUGAAUGAGGAAACUCACCUGGGUUCAUACUCAGGUACGUUAUACUGAACUUCAAAAUAGGUAUAUCGAGGGAACCGCCUGAACUGAAACAUCUAAGUAGGGCGAGGAAGAGACAUCAAACGAGAUUCCGUAAGUAGUGGCGAGCGAACGCGGAAGAGGGCAAACCGAGAGUAGAAAUACUUUCGGGGUACGGAGCGCAUUUAGGACUUAAGUUGUUAACCGAACGGCAUGGGAAGGCCGGUCAGAGAGUGUGAGAACCACGUAGGUGAAAACGACAAGAGCCGAGCGAAUUCCAGAGUACGGCCAGACACGUGAAACCUGGUCGGAAUACGGGGGGACCACCCUCCAACCCUAAAUACUACCCAGUGACCGAUAGCGUAUAGUACUGUGAAGGAAAGGUGAAAAGCACCCCGGGAGGGGAGUGAAAAAGAACCUGAAACCCUGUGCCUACAAGCACCUAGAGCGCGUCAAAGCGUGAUAGGGUACUUUUUGUAGAACGGUCCGGCGAGCGAUUGUAUGCAGCAAGGUUAAGGACUUAAGGUCUGGAGCCGAAGCGAAAGCGAGUUUGAAAAGGGCGUUAAGUUGCAUAUAAUGGGCCCGAAACCGGGUGACCUACCCAUGGUCAGGUUGAAGUGGAAGUAAAAUUCCAUGGAGGACCGAACCGACCUCCGUUGAAAAGGCGGCGGAUGAACUGUGGGUAGCGGAGAAAUUCCAAUCGAACCCGGAGAUAGCUGGUUCUCCCCGAAAUAGUUUUAGGACUAGCCUCAAGUUAGAUACCUGGAGGUAAAGCACUGAAUAGCCUAGCGGCCGAGAGGUUAGCGAAGCUUAUCAAACUCAGAAUGCCAGAGUAUUGAUGCUUGGGAGUCAGACAGUGUCAGAUAAAUGUCAUUGUCAAAAGGGAAACAGCCCAGAUCUACAGCUAAGGUCCCAAAGUCAGGUUAAGUGGAAAACGAUGUGAAGAUACGUAGACAACCAGGAUGUUGGCUCAGAAGCAGCCACUCAUUCAAAGAGUGCGUAAUAGCUCACUGGUCGAGCGUCUUUGCGCGGAGAAUUUAACGGGGCUAAACCUGACACCGAAGCUUAGGCAGCAUGUUUACAUGCUGGGUAGGGGAGCGUUGUAUACGCGGUGAAACAGUAGCGCAAGCGGCUGUGGAGUGUAUAGAAGUGAGAAUGCCGGAAUGAGUAGCGCGAAUGCAGUGAGAAUCUGCAUGGCCGAAAGCCUCAGGUUUCUGGAGGAAGGUUCGUCCGCUCCAGGUCAGUCGGGAGCUAAGGUGAGGCCUAACGGCGUAGCCGAUGCACAGACGGUAGAGAUUCCGUCACCACCAAAAGAGUUAAACACAGGGACACAUAUGAAGUCUCGGAGCCGGGUGUUGGUUCCGGUAGCGAUCGAGGGAAAUUAGUACCGAAGUCCGGGAUGGAAGAUGGCGAGAAAAGCUGUGUGUAUUUCUGCGGUGCCCGUACCGCAAACCGACACAGGUAGGUAGGAAGAAGAUUCUAAGGCCAACGGGAGAAGGGUUGUUAAGGAACUCGGCAAAUUGACCCCGUAACUUCGGGAGAAGGGGUGCUGCAGCAAUGCAGCCGCAGAGAAUCGGCCCAAGCAACUGUUUACCAAAAACACAGGUUUGUGCUAAAUCGAAAGAUGACGUAUACGAGCUGACGCCUGCCCGGUGCUGGAAGGUUAAGAGGAGAUGUGCAAGCAUUGAAUCGAAGCCCCAGUGAACGGCGGCCGUAACUAUAACGGUCCUAAGGUAGCGAAAUUCCUUGUCAGGUAAGUUCUGACCCGCAUGAAAGGCGUAAUGAUUUGGGCACUGUCUCAACAGCCCGCCCGGCGAAAUUGUAGUACCGGUGAAGAUGCCGGUUACCCGCGACAAGACGGAAAGACCCCAUGGAGCUUUACUGUAGCCUAAUAUUGGGUUUCGAUGUUGCAUGCACAGGAUAGAUGGGACACUGGGAAGCAGGUGCUUUGGCGCUUGUGGAGUGGCCGUUGGGAUACCAUCCUUGCGAUAUUGGAAUUCUAACCUGCGCCUUUGAAUCAAGGCGGGGGACAUUGUUAGGUGGGCAGUUUGACUGGGGCGGUCGCCUCCUAAAGAGUAACGGAGGCGUUCAAAGGUUCGCUCAGCUUGAACGGAAAUCAAGCAAAAGAGUGCAAACGCAGAAGCGAGCCUAACUGCGAGACUGACGGGUCGAGCAGUAACGAAAGUUGGAGUUAGUGAUCCGGUGGUAUGUGAGUGGAAAUGCCAUCGCUCAACGGAUAAAAGUUACCCUGGGGAUAACAGGCUGAUCUCCCCCAAGAGUCCACAUCGACGGGGAGGUUUGGCACCUCGAUGUCGGCUCAUCGCAUCCUGGGGCUGUAUUCGGUCCCAAGGGUUUGGCUGUUCGCCAAUUAAAGCGGUACGCGAGCUGGGUUCAGAACGUCGUGAGACAGUUCGGUCCCUAUCUGUCGUGGGCGCAGGAUAUUUGAUGGGAGCUGUUCCUAGUACGAGAGGACCGGAGCGGACGUACCUCUGGCGCACCAGUUGUUCUGCCAAGAGCAUAGCUGGGCAACUAUGUACGGAUCGGAUAAACGCUGAAAGCAUCUAAGCGUGAAGCCGACCCAAAGAUAAGAUAUCCCAUUGUUUCAAACAAGUAAGACCCCUUGAAGACUACAAGGUUGAUAGGCACGAUGUGUAAGUGGAGCGAUCCAUUCAGCAAGCGUGUACUAAUAGGUCGAGGGCUUGACCACA